CCCUUAGAUGUUCUGGGCCGCACACGCGCUACACUGAAGGAGGCAGCGUGUACUCCUGGAUCGAAAGAUUUGGGUAACCCGCGAAUCUCCUUCGUGCUAGGGAUUGAGGUUUGCAAUUAUCCUUCAUGAACGAGGAAUUCCCAGUAAGUGCAAGUCAUAAGCUUGCGCUGACUACGUCCCUGCCCUUUGUACACACCGCCCGUCGCUACUACCGAUUGAAUGAUUUAGUGAGGACUUCGGACUGGGACCGAUGCGGCUUUCGGGCUGCGUCGGUAUUCUGGAAAGAGGUCCAAACUGUAUCAUUUAGAGGAAGUAAAAGUCGUAACA
rnacentral:rRNA from 1 species